rnacentral:lncRNA from 1 species
UCCCCCCAUCCGGUCUAAAAGAACCGGGCCUUCGACUUUGCUCAAGUUAGGACGAGGUUCUCCUCCUGUCCCUAACAGAGCUGUGGGGGCGCAUAUGGGCGUUGUAGGGCCUCUCCCCCCAUUCGGUCUAAAAGAACCGGGCCUUUGACUUUGCUCAUGUCAGGACGAGGUUCUCCUCCUGUUCCUGACAUGGCUGUGGGGGCACAUUAGGGUGCUGUAGGGCCUCUCUCCCCAUCCGGUCUAAAUGGAACCGGACCUUCGACUUUGCUCAAGUUAGGGCGAGGUUCUCCUCUUGUCCCUAACAGGGCUGUGGGGGUGCAUAUGGACGUUGUAGGGCCUCUCCCCCCAUCCGGUCUAAAUGGAACCGGACCUUCAACUUUGCUCAUGUCAGGACGAGGUUCUCCUCCUGUUCCUGACAUGGCUGUGGGGGCACAUUAGGGCGCUGUAGGGCCUCUCCCCCC